GACGAACGCUGGCGGCGUGCUUAACACAUGCAAGUCGAACGGAAAGGCCCUGCUUUUGUGGGGUGCUCGAGUGGCGAACGGGUGAGUAACACGUGAGUAACCUGCCCUUGACUUUGGGAUAACUUCAGGAAACUAGGGCUAAUACCGGAUAGGAGCUCCUGCUGCAUGGUGGGGGUUGGAAAGUUUCGGCGGUUGGGGAUGGACUCGCGGCUUAUCAGCUUGUUGGUGGGGUAGUGGCUUACCAAGGCUUUGACGGGUAGCCGGCCUGAGAGGGUGACCGGCCACAUUGGGACUGAGAUACGGCCCAGACUCCUACGGGAGGCAGCAGUGGGGAAUAUUGCACAAUGGGCGGAAGCUUGAUGCUGCAACGCCGCGUGCGGGAUGACGGCCUUCGGGUUGUAAACCGCUUUCGCCUGUGACGAAGCGUGAGUGACGGUAAUGGGUAAAGAAGCACCGGCUAACUACGUG
rnacentral:rRNA from 1 species